rnacentral:rRNA from 1 species
GAUGAACGCUAGCGACAGGCCUAACACAUGCAAGUCGAGGGGUAUAGUAGCAAUACUAGAGACCGGCGCACGGGUGCGUAACGCGUAUGUAACCUGCCUCACACUGGGGGAUAGCCUUCCGAAAGGGAGAUUAAUACCGCAUAAUAUUGUUUAUCUGCCUGGAUAGACAAUUAAAGCUUCGGUGGUGUGAGAUGGACAUGCGUAUGAUUAGCUAGUUGGCGGGGUAACGGCCCACCAAGGCGACGAUCAUUAGGGGUUCUGAGAGGAAGAUCCCCCACACUGGUACUGAGACACGGACCAGACUCCUACGGGAGGCAGCAGUGAGGAAUAUUGGUCAAUGGGCGAAAGCCUGAACCAGCCAUGUCGCGUGCAGGAAGACGGCCCUAUGGGUUGUAAACUGCUUUUGUAUGGGAAGAAACGACGGUACGAGUACUGUUUUGCCGGUACCAUACGAAUAAGGAUCGGCUAACUCCGUG